CUCAAUCCUUCGGUGCUCAGCCAUCCUUAUGGCCCAACUUUCACAGCCAUACAUUGCAACUGGGAAGAACAUAGCCUUGACUCUGCGUACUUUUGUUGGCAGGGUGAUGUCUCUGUUUUUCAGUAUGCAGUCUAGAUUGGCCACAUAGCUUUUCCCCCCAGGAGAAAG